rnacentral:misc_RNA from 1 species
CGGAGGUUCAGUCCUCCCAGGCCCACCACUUCGCAAUCCGCAAGGAUUGUCGGAUCUCCUCGAUAUCCGUCGGGAAACACUAUCAGGGGCCGUAGCUCAGCUGGGAGAGCGCCUGCUUUGCAAGCAGGAUGUCGUCGGUUCGAUCCCGUCCGGCUCCACCAACCAUCUUCUGUGAAGGUGGGGCGUGUCGAGUAGAGGAUGAUCGCCCGCGGUCAGUCAUUCGAAAAAGAGUUUGCGGCGCGCUUCGUGCUCUCCGCCUGUUCUGUUUGACAUCGUAAAGAGAGAUUUGUUCGAACUUCACGGCUGCAAGGCUGUGAUUUGUCGCAAGGACGCUCAAUCCCUUGCCUAUGAUGGGUUUGCCUAACCGCGCCCUCGAACGGAUCUCGAGAAGCUGGUCUUUUUGUGCCAAUUCCAUUGAAGCAAGCCCCGCACAGGGUUUUGCUCAGGCGGCGAUCCUUCGGAUCGCGCAGAUGGGUAUUGGCAAUGAGAACGAUCAAGUGUCUUAAGGGCAAUUGGUGGAUGCCUUGGCAUGCACAGGCGAUGAAGGACGUGAUACGCUGCGAUAAGCUACGGGGAGGUGCGAAUACCCUUUGAUCCGUAGAUCUCCGAAUGGG